ACGGGGUGCAGCAGGCGCGAAACCUUUACACUGCACGCAAGUGCGAUAAGGGGACCCCAAGUGCGAGGGCAUAUAGUCCUCGCUUUUCNCGACUGUAAGGCGGUCGUGGAAUAAGAGCUGGGCAAGACCGGUGCCAGCCGCCGCGGUAAUACCGGCAGCUCAAGUGAUGACCGAUAUUAUUGGGCCUAAAGCGUCCGUAGCCGGCCACGAAGGUUCAUCGGGAAAUCCGCCAGCUCAACUGGCGGGCGUCCGGUGAAAACCACGUGGCUUGGGACCGGAAGGCUCGAGGGGUACGUCCGGGGUAGGAGUGAAAUCCCGUAAUCCUGGACGGACCACCGAUNNCGAAAGCACCUCGAGAAGACGGAUCCGACGGUGAGGGACGAAAGCUAGGGUCUUCGAAC
rnacentral:rRNA from 1 species